CGGCAAUUGCUCAAAUUUAAAAUCUGACUUCUUUUGAGGUCCGAAUUGUAAUUUGUAGAAGAUGCUUCGGGUGUGGCUCCGGUCUAAGUUCCUUGGAACAGGACGUCAUAGAGGGUGAGAAUCCCGUAUGUGACUGGCUGCCUUCGCCUAUGUGAAGCUCUUUCGAC
rnacentral:rRNA from 1 species